rnacentral:misc_RNA from 1 species
GAUCAUUACCAAAACGUAAGCCAACCACAGCAGGGGUCCGUAACCUUCCAUACCCACGGAUGGGAAAAGGAGAGUCUGAGGUUGACCUUUUGUGAACCAAAAAAACCAUUUCGCUUCGGCAGCUGGGUCUUCGUCCGGUCUUGACCGGGUGGCCUGUCAGCCUGCCGCUAGCACCAAAAAAAAAACUUGUUGUCAAAAACAUUGUCUGAUAACCAAAAUUUUCGAAUGAAAAUCAAAACUUUCAACAACGGAUCUCUUGGUUCCCGCAUCGAUGAAGAACGCAGCGAAACGCGAUAGUUAAUGUGAAUUGCAGAAUUCAGUGAAUCAUCGAGUCUUUGAACGCACAUUGCGCCCAUUGGUAUUCCUUUGGGCAUGUCUGUUUGAGCGUCAUUACAACCCCUCAGCUAACGCUGGUUUUGAACCCGAACGGUUGAUGCCGCGCCGGUUUUAAAGUUGUAAGCUCUGCUGGCCGCUCCGCCCCAACCAGAACAUAGUAAGCACUACUUUUGUUAGGGUGAAGCCGAACGGUAUGGCCUGAACAAAACCUACCCUUUUUCUCAAGGUUUGACCUCAGAUCA